ACGAACGUUGGCGGCGUGGAUUAGGCAUGCAAGUCGAACGAAUGUCACUGUUGUAGCAAUACAGUGGUGGCGGAAGUGGCGAAAGGGGCAGUAAUGCAUGGGUAACCUACCCCGGGGACGGGGAUAGCCAUUCUAACGAGUGGGUAAUACCUGGCGAUCUGGUCGAGGGGCAUCUCUUGGCCAGGAAAUGAAUUUCGCCUCGGGAGGGGCUCAUGUGAUAUUAGCUUGUUGGCGGGGUAACGGCCCACCAAGGCAAAGAUGUCUAGCGGGUGUGAGAGCACGACCCGCGCCACUGGCACUGAGACACUGGCCAGACACCUACGGGUGGCUGCAGUCGAGGAUCUUUGGCAAUGGGCGCAAGCCUGACCAAGCGACGCCGCGUGAGCGAUGAAGGCCUUCGGGUUGUAAAGCUCUUUUGUGGGGGAGAAAGCCGCAAGGUUGAUCGAUCCCAAGAAUAAGCACGGGCUAAGUUCGU
rnacentral:rRNA from 1 species